AGGAUUUGAUUUAGUCACCCACAUAGCAUGGAAUGACCUGAAAUUGACAACACAUUUUAGAACACGGCAAUGUUCUGAGGCUGCCCUAGAAGAAAACUGGACACCUUCAAGAAGGCAUUCAUCUUCAGGGACUGAUAUGUAAGAUGAAGAGCAGCAUCUAGAGGAAGCCUGCAUUCCUUGGCUCAGGACACCGCAUAACGUCAUCACAUCUCCUUCACCGUCUCUGUGUUGGUUUGCAAACUGGCCCACUUGCAAGAGGAAGGAAAGCAAAGAGAGAUAGAAAAAAGAGGCAGACCAGUCCAGAUUGGUAGAUGGCAGGUUUAAUAAACAAGAGAACUUAACGAGGCCUGUCUUGGGUGGUCACAAGACUAUUAGGUGUCUACACCCACCCACCAUAAUCUGGAAAAUUUAUAUAGAGGCCUUAACUGUGUUCAGCCAUGAAUAUGGUCUAGACGGUCUCAACAAAACACCACCAUCUAAAGGCUGUGUCCUUGCUGUGGCUCCUCAUGCAGGGAAGGAAAACAGAAUGCACAUUCCAAGAACAGAAGAAGGGGUGAGUGCCCAGGUCCAGCUCACAGAUCAACUGGUAGUCACAUCCUCCCCAAGACCUCCUCCAACACUCUGCUUCUAUUGUCACAUCACCUUCUCUGACUUUAGUCUUUCCGCCUCCCUAUUGUAAGGAUCCCUAUAAUUGUGCUUGACCUAUCUGCUUAAUCCAGGACAACCUCCCAACUCAAGAUUCUUACUUUAAUCACAUCUGCAAAGUGUCUUUUGCGUAUAAGUUAACAUAUUUACAGGUUUUGGGGAUUAGGUCAGGGACAUGUUUUGGGAGCCAUUAGUCUGCCUACCCUAUCUAUCGCUUUUGCCAAUGGGAGAAGACUCAAAAGGAGGAGCCUUCCCUAGCUUUUUGUUCAAAGCCAAAACCAUACUUUGAAAUCAUUUCAAAAGGCACAAGUAUAUUUUGCUAAAUGUAAUUGGUUUCUGUCUACAUAGGCCUUUCUUGUUAAAAUUUAAUUAUUACUACCCUUAGGGUUGUCUUUACUUUUCUUUUUAUU